UUGCUUUGGCAGCACAUAUACUAAAAUUGAAAUGAUACAGAGAAGAUUAGCAUGACCCUUGUGCAAGGAUGAAAUGCAAAUUUGUGAAGUGUUUCAUAUUUUU